rnacentral:rRNA from 1 species
UACGUAGGGCGCAAGCGUUGUCCGGAAUUAUUGGGCGUAAAGAGCUCGUAGGCGGCUUGUCACGUCGGUUGUGAAAGCCCGGGGCUUAACCCCGGGUCUGCAGUCGAUACGGGCAGGCUAGAGUGUGGUAGGGGAGAUCGGAAUUCCUGGUGUAGCGGUGAAAUGCGCAGAUAUCAGGAGGAACACCGGUGGCGAAGGCGGUCUUCUGGACGGUGACUGACGCUGAGGCGCGAAAGCGUGGGGAGCAAACGGG